GCCUACGGGAGGCAGCAGUGGGGAAUAUUGCACAAUGGGGGAAACCCUGAUGCAGCGACGCCGCGUGAGUGAAGAAGUAUUUCGGUAUGUAAAGCUCUAUCAGCAGGGAAGAAGCAGACGGUACCUGACUAAGAAGCCCCGGCUAACUACGUGCCAGCAGCCGCGGUAAUACGUAGGGGGCAAGCGUUAUCCGGAUUUACUGGGUGUAAAGGGAGCGUAGACGGCUAAGCAAGUCUGAAGUGAAAGCCCGGGGCCCAACCCCGGGACUGCUCUUGGAACUGCGCGGCUGGAGUGCAGGAGGGGCG
rnacentral:rRNA from 1 species